rnacentral:tRNA from 1 species
UAGCCUAGUGGUGAAGGCUAUGGAUCGCCAAUCCGCAGACGGCGGGUUCGAUUCCCGU